rnacentral:rRNA from 1 species
AUUGAACGCUGGCGGCAGGCCUAACACAUGCAAGUCGAACGAGUGGCGGACGGGUGAGUAAUGUCUGGGAAACUGCCCGAUGGAGGGGGAUAACAACUGGAAAAGGUAGCUAAUACCGCAUACACUCGUGUGUGCCCAGAUAGGAGUAGAUAGUGGGUGAGGGAACGCCUCACAAAGGCGACGAUCCCUAGCUGGUCUGAGAGGAUGACCAGCCACACUGGGACUGAGACACGGUCCAGACUCCUACGGGAGGCAGCAGUGGGGAAUCUUGUACAAUGGGGGCAAGCCGGAGGCAGCCAGCCCGCGUGUAUGAUGAAGGCCUUCGGGUUGUAAAGUACUUUGGGCAGGGAGGCGUUACCCGCAGAAGAAGCACCGGCUAACUCCGUGCCAGCAGCCGCGGUAAUAC